rnacentral:rRNA from 1 species
GACGAACGCUGGCGGCGUGCCUAAUACAUGCAAGUCGAGCGCGGGAAGCAAGUGAUCGCCCUUCGGGGCGUGAACUUGUGGAACGAGCGGCGGACGGGUGAGUAACACGUGGGCAACCUGCCUGUAAGACUGGGAUAACUCGCGGAAACGUGAGCUAAUACCGGAUAAUACCUUUUAUCUCAUGAUGAGAGGUUGAAAGGCGGUCUUUUAGCUGUCACUUACAGAUGGGCCCGCGGCGCAUUAGCUAGUUGGUGAGGUAACGGCUCACCAAGGCAACGAUGCGUAGCCGACCUGAGAGGGUGAUCGGCCACACUGGGACUGAGACACGGCCCAG